UUACAUAAAACAAAAACUUGGUCUGUGUUUGGUGGGGGUGAGCGUACGAUCGAGAGAGAGAGCAAGGGAUGAACCAAAACCCUAACAACAUAAAUCCAUCAAAUUGAAAGGGGAAUUGAAGGCUAUUUGGAUGCAUGAACCAGGAAUGUUAAUUACCUAAGUGUUUCUAACAUCAAGAACAAAGAAAGACGAAGGAACAAGUCCAUCCAAGGCGCUAGAAACGCAAGAUUUCGGUAAAUCCUCACUUUAGGCGAUUUGGAGAUUUGGAGCGAGCACGGGUCCAUGUUAUGUUAUACCAAAAGCUUCCGCUAGUUUAUGUUCGUCCUUAUGGUCCAUGACUUGUUAUUUUGUCCAACUUUGUUAGUAGUAAUAUUUUUUUUUGCAAAACUUGUUGUCUUUGUUUUGGGUAGUUUAAUGUUAAAAGGGUCGUAGAUUGUUGUUAGUUUAUUAUGUUAAAAACAGGGCGCAUGUUCGUUUUACAAACGGGUCAUGCCCAAUUUUUGUAAGAAUUUUUUUUUUUUAUGUAUCAAAGUUGGUAUUUUGAC